UACAGAGGGUGCGAGCGUUGUUCGGAAUUACUGGGCGUAAAGCGUGCGCAGGCGGUUGGUUAAGUCUGAUGUGAAAGCCCCGAGCUCAACUUGGGAAUGGCAUUGGAAACUGGCUGGCUAGAGUGUGGCAGAGGGGGGUGGAAUUCCGCGUGUAGCAGUGAAAUGCGUAGAGAUGCGGAGGAACACCGAUGGCGAAGGCAGCCCCCUGGGCUGACACUGACGCUCAGGCACGAAAGCGUGGGGAGCGAACGGG
rnacentral:rRNA from 1 species